rnacentral:tRNA from 1 species
GAAGGUAUAGCUCAGAGGUGCAGUGCUUGCCUAGCAUGCACGAGGUCCUGGUUCAAUCCCCAGUACCUCCG